AUGUGGAGUACUUCGAACAUUGGAAAGGUGAUAUACCUGAUAGUGCUACAAGGUCCCUUUUAUCCAGUCCUUGCCUUCCGAAGAAUUUUACAAGACGAUGCAGUGUUGCAUUGGGUGGAGGCAGGUUCUUAUUUGCUAGCUUCAUAUAUGCUGUCUUUGAAUCCCUCCUUCCCAGCGAGAGUUCCCAUCAUGGAAAAGGAGCCUGAGAAGGGACGCGGCGAUGCGCGGUUCCUUGGCAAUCGCCUUCUUCAAGACGGAGACUACAAUCUCAUCAGCUUGCGGGCAUGUGGACCUGUAGAAAUGUGGAGAAAGGCCUGGCUUUGGACUGUGUCCAAUUGGAUGGGCACCCUCAUGGUUGUGAGUAGGGAAGAAGGCAAGAGAGGCUGA
rnacentral:rRNA from 1 species